UACGAAGGGGGCAAGCGUUGUUCGGAAUUACUGGGCGUAAAGGGCGCGUAGGCGGCCGAUCAAGUCAGGCGUGAAAUUCCCGGGCUCAACCUGGGGGCUGCGCUUGAUACUGAUUGGCUUGAAUGCGGGAGAGGAUAGUGGAAUUCCCAGUGUAGAGGUGAAAUUCGUAGAUAUUGGGAAGAACACCGGUGGCGAAGGCGGCUAUCUGGCCCGUUAUUGACGCUGAGGCGCGAAAGCGUGGGGAGCAAAC
rnacentral:rRNA from 1 species